rnacentral:rRNA from 1 species
GACGAACGCUGGCGGCGCGCCUAACACAUGCAAGUCGAACGAGUGGCGAAUCUUCGGAUUCAAAGCUAGUGGCGGACGGGUGAGUAACACGUGAGGAACCUGCCUUUCAGAGAGGGAUACCGUUUGGAAACGAACGUUAAUACCUCAUAACGUAACGAGAUCGCAUGAUAAUGUUACCAAAGAUUUAUCGCUGAUAGAUGGCCUCGCGUCUGAUUAGAUAGUUGGCGAGGUAACGGCUCACCAAGUCGACGAUCAGUAGCCGGACUGAGAGGUUGAACGGCCACAUUGGGACUGAGACACGGCCCAGACUCCUACGGGAGGCAGCAGUGGGGAAUAUUGCACAAUGGGCGAAAGCCUGACGCAGCAACGCCGCGUGAUUGAUGAAGCCUUCGGGUGUAAGAUCUGUCAGUGGGACGAAACUUGACGGUACCCACAGAGGAAGCAUCGGCUAACUCCGUG